rnacentral:rRNA from 1 species
UUUGACAUACAGUAGUAGGAAGGAACUGGACGACCCUUCGGGAGCUUGUACAGGUGCUGCAUGGCUGUCGUCAGCUCGUGUCGUGAGAUGUUCGGUUAAGUCCGCUAACGAGCGCAACCCUCGCUGUGUGUUACAAGUGUCACACGGAACUGCCGGUCAUAAACCGGAGGAAGGUGGGGAUGACGGUCAAGUCAGCAUGGCCUUUAUAUCCUGGGCUACACACACGCUACAAUGGGAAGGGACAAUAGGUUGCGAAGCCGCGAGGCGGAGCCAAUCCAGCAAACUUCCCUCAGUUCAGAUUGCAGGCUGCAACUCGCCUGCAUGAAGUUGGAGUUGCUAGUAAACGCAGGUCAGCCAUACUGCGUUGAAUACGUUCCCGGGCUU